GGCUCGGUGGUUUAGGUAUAUGAUUCUCGCUUUGGGUGCGAGAGGUCACGGGUUCAAAUCCCGGCCGAGCCC